CGGGGUGUAGCGCAGUUGGCAGCGCACUGCGUUUGGGACGCAGGGGUCGGCGGUUCAAGUCCGCCCACCCCGA
rnacentral:tRNA from 1 species